UUAGGGUUUCGGUCGAUUUUAGGAUUUAGAAUUGUUAGUUCUCAGGGAUGAGUGUUGCGAUUUCGAUUGGAAACGAUCACUUAUGGAUUCCUGAGCUGCAAGGAAUACUUGCAAAUCGCAGCUACAACAACUCUUCAAUACGAAGAUGCUGGAUUUUUCGGCGUGCUAGGCCUUGCGAUUGGUGCCCUAGCCUUCUAUUCCCACCAUUUUUGCGUGGUUUGUGUGCGCAUCACCUCGCACAUUGUUAUUAUUGCGAUUGAUUGGGUUGGCAUUCUUGGUCUCAUCACGUAUCAGAUUUGAAUCCGUGGGAUAUCUUCGUGAAUUUUGAACAAGAGUUGUGAUUCGGCUGUAACCCUAAUUGGUGACCAAGUCCUGAGGAAGGAGAAAUUUGCUGGAGUUCGGACCAUCGUGGAGCAUGAGAAUUAGGAGCUGGAGCAAGGAUAUGUGCAACGACAUGUAUAUCCUCCUCACUGGGUUUUUUCAGCCGUAGUAGGCUGCAUUCCAUCACCAUGGCAGGAGCAUCUACUGACAAUUGUAUAUCGUCAUCCGCACUGUAAAUUUAUUGAAGGAAUCAAAUGCUUUUUUCCAGAACUGAACCCGAUGCUGUACGUGCAUGUGGAGCCGUUGCAGGUAAUUUAGGAAACUGUGGCACGGGAGCCACUCGCCGCUCUUCUUGCGGAAUGUUUGAGACAAAAGAGCAUGGUGAAUGACGACUAAAUCUCCUCUUUCGGAAAGUUGUGAACAAUUUCGAAGAAAUCUGGUCCCCUUGGUCCUCGCUUUGCAAUAGUGGUCGUGCAGCUUGCUCUUUACAGCAGGCUUCCAAUCAAUUUGGUGGAAUUGACAUGAUUGACGACCUCAUGAGCUCCGGAAAACCUCGAAAACCUCGGAAACAGCAGUGUUUUUAGCCUCGACGCCACUCACUGCAAAUCUUAUAACUGGAAAAACUGGUAUCAUGUUCAUGAUAAAAACCAGAAAACAUGUUCUGUUUUCAGAGCAGCUGGUCAGAGGACAUGAAACAUAGUUUCAAUUGUUCACUCAUUUUCAUGGGAGCAUUAUAUAUGUGUUUGUCAUGACAAACUCGAAGAUUAUUAUUUUCUACCUUUCGUAGUGGAUAUGGGCAACUUGAAAAUAUCUAUUUGGCUGGAGUCCUACACUGAAAUGCUUUUGCUGUAGUGCAAAUACGUGAUGCGUGCUCAAGUGCAUGUUUAGUUCUACUUGGAAUGAUGAAAAGUAAAAGCCCCUUCAACCAA